AUUGAACGCUGGCGGCAGGCCUAACACAUGCAAGUCGAACGGUAACAGGAAGAAGCUUGCUUCUUUGCUGACGAGUGGCGGACGGGUGAGUCAUGUCUGGGAAACUGCCUGAUGGAGGGGGAUAACUACUGGAAACGGUAGCUAAUACCGCAUAACGUCUCAAGACCAAAGAGGGGGACCUUCGGGCCUCUUGCCAUCGGAUGUGCCCAGGUGGGAUGCGAUAGUAGGUGGGGUAACGGUUCACCUAGGCGACGAUCCCUAGAUGGACUGAGAGGAUGACCAGCCACCCUGGAACGGAGACACGGUCCAGAGUCCUACGGGAGGCAGCAGUGGGGAAUAUUGCACAAUGGGCGCAAGCCUGAUGCAGCGAUGCCGAGUGUAUGAAGAAGGCCUUCGGGUUGUAAAGUACUUUCAGCGGGGAGGAAGGGAGUAAAGUUGAUACCUUUGCUCAUUGACGUUACCCGCAGAAGAAGCACCGGCUAACUACGUG
rnacentral:rRNA from 1 species